rnacentral:rRNA from 1 species
UACGUAGGUGGCAAGCGUUGUCCGGAUUUAUUGGGUUUAAAGGGUGCGUAGGCGGUUCCAUAAGUCAGUGGUGAAAUACAAUAGCUUAACUAUUGAGGUGCCAUUGAUACUGCGGAACUUGAGUACAGACGAGGUAGGCGGAAUUGACGGUGUAGCGGUGAAAUGCUUAGAUAUCGUCAAGAACACCGAUAGCGAAGGCAGCUUACUAGACUGUAACUGACGCUGAGGCACGAAAGUGUGGGGAUCAAACAGGAUUAGAUACCCUGGUAGUCCACACUGUAAACGAUGAUUACUCGAUGUUGGCGAUACACAGCCAGCGUCUUAGCAAAAGCGAUAAGUAAUCCACCUGGGGAGUACGCCGGCAACGGUGAA